UGGAUCUACCCAGAAGAUCUUGGCAUUCUGGGAUAGGGUGGAUCAGGAAGAAACACGAUGGGAGGGUAAAAGAAGAAGUGGAAGCGGAAAAAAGGAGACGAGUGAGCACUGACUAGAGAAUGAACCUGUAGAUGACUUUGCUGAUCAGUACUUCAUUUUCUCCAAGAAUUUAUUUCUGAAGAACUUAGAAUUAUUACAUCUGCCUCACUAAGUCAAAAUGCAUGUGUGAACCCAUCUUGCUAACAUCCUGGAUCUGAUGAAUACUUAAUAUUUCAG